rnacentral:rRNA from 1 species
CAGCCGCCGCGGUAAUACGUAGGUCCCGAGCGUUGUCCGGAUUUAUUGGGCGUAAAGCGAGCGCAGGCGGUUAGAUAAGUCUGAAGUUAAAGGCUGUGGCUUAACCAUAGUACGCUUUGGAAACUGUUUCACUUGAGUGCAAGAGGGGAGAGUGGAAUUCCAUGUGUAGCGGUGAAAUGCGUAGAUAUAUGGAGGUACACCGGUGGCGAAAGCGGCUCUCUGGCUUGUAACUGACGCUGAGGCUCGAAAGCGUGGGGAGCAAACAGGAUUAGAUACCCCUGUAGUCCCUGUCUCUUAUACA